rnacentral:rRNA from 1 species
UACGAAGGGGGGCUAGCGUUGCUCGGAAUCACUGGGGCGUAAAAGCGCCACGUAGGCGGCUUUCUAAGUCAGGGGGUGAAAUCCUGGAGCUCAACUCCAGAACUGCCUUUGAUACUGGAGAGCUUGAGUCCGGGAGAGGUGAGUGGAACUCCGAGUGUAGAGGUGAAAUUCGUAGAUAUUCGGAAGAACACCAGUGGCGAAGGCGGCUCACUGGCCCGGUACUGACGCUGAUGUGCGAAAGCGUGGGGAGCAAACAGG